rnacentral:rRNA from 1 species
GAGCUUGCUUGUGUAGGAUAGGUGGGAGGCUUUGAAGCGUGGACGCCAGUCUGCGUGGAGCCAUCCUUGAAAUACCACCCUGGCAAUCUUGAGGUUCUAACUCUGGUCCGUCAUCCGGAUCGAGGACAGUGUAUGGUGGGCAGUUUGACUGGGGCGGUCUCCUCCUAAAGAGUAACGGAGGAGUACGAAGGUGCGCUCAGACCGGUCGGAAAUCGGUCGUAGA